rnacentral:miRNA from 1 species
GGAUGAGAUUGAGAGAGAGGAUGAGAGGGGAGGAUGAGAGGAAGGAGUAACAAAAGUGAAAUAAAAAAACUUGAAAGUGAAAACAAGUUGAAAUAGAUUUCAGUUUUUAGUUUUUGUUUUCACUUUUGUUACUCCUCUCUCCCAUCCUCUCCUCUCAUCUUCCCGCUCAAUCCCAUCU